rnacentral:lncRNA from 1 species
UUAACUUCAGAAACUAGACUUUUCCCUCUCUCCCUCUGCAAACACUUCACAAACCCUUUCUUCAUCUUCAUGAACGAAUCCCUUUUUUCACCUCUUCGCGAAACACUCUUCCCUUCAAUGUCGCUCUUCACUCUGGCCUUCACUCACUCUUCCUUUCAAUGUCUUCUCACUCUCGCGUCCCCAAAACCUAACCCUCACUCUCGCGCCCUAAACCUAAUCCUCAAUCUCGUGCCCUUCACUGUCCGCC